UACGUAGGGGGCAAGCGUUGUCCGGAAUCAUUGGGCGUAAAGAGCGUGUAGGCGGUCCGGUCAGUCGGUUGUGAAAGUCAAGGGCUCAACCCUUGAAUGCCGGCCGAUACUGCCGGGCUAGAGUCCGGAAGAGGUGAGUGGAAUUCCUGGUGUAGCGGUGAAAUGCGCAGAUAUCAGGAGGAACACCGAUGGCGAAGGCAGCUCACUGGGACGGUACUGACGCUGAGGAGCGAAAGCCAGGGGAGCAAACGGG
rnacentral:rRNA from 1 species